UGGGGAAUAUUGCACAAUGGGGGAAACCCUGAUGCAGCGACGCCGCGUGAGCGAAGAAGUAUUUCGGUAUGUAAAGCUCUAUCAGCAGGGAAGAAGAAUGACGGUACCUGACUAAGAAGCACCGGCUAAAUACGUGCCAGCAGCCGCGGUAAUACGUAUGGUGCAAGCGUUAUCCGGAUUUACUGGGUUUAAAGGGUGCGUAGGCUGUUUGUCAAGUCAGAGGUGAAAGGCCGCAGCUCAACUGUGGAAUUGCCUUUGAUACUGGCAGGCUUGAAUACUGUUGCCGUGGGAGGAAUGAGUAGUGUAGCGGUGAAAUGCAUAGAUAUUACUCAGAACACCGAUUGCGAAGGCAUCUCACGAAGCAGAGAUUGACGCUGAGGCACGAAAGCGUGAGGAUCAAACAGGAUUAGAUACCCUGGUAGU
rnacentral:rRNA from 1 species